rnacentral:rRNA from 1 species
CUCUUACGGGUGGCGAGUGGCGGACGGGUGAGGAAUACAUCGGAAUCUACUUUUUCGUGGGGGAUAACGUAGGGAAACUUACGCUAAUACCGCAUACGACCUACGGGUGAAAGCAGGGGAUCUUCGGACCUUGCGCGAUUGAAUGAGCCGAUGUCGGAUUAGCUAGUUGGCGGGGUAAAGGCCCACCAAGGCGACGAUCCGUAGCUGGUCUGAGAGGAUGAUCAGCCACACUGGAACUGAGACACGGUCCAGACUCCUACGGGAGGCAGCAGUGGGGAAUAUUGGACAAUGGGCGCAAGCCUGAUCCAGCCAUACCGCGUGGGUGAAGAAGGCCUUCGGGUUGUAAAGCCCUUUUGUUGGGAAAGAAAUCCAGCCGGCUAAUACCUGGUUGGGAUGACGGUACCCAAAGAAUAAGCACCGGCUAACUUCGUGCCAGCAGCCGCGGUAAUACGAAGGGUGCAAGCGUUACUCGGAAUUACUGGGCGUAAAGCGUGCGUAGGUGGUCGUUUAAGUCUGUUGUGAAAGCCCUGGGCUCAACCUGGGAACUGCAGUGGAAACUGGACGACUAGAGUGUGGUAGAGGGUAGCGGAAUUCCUGGUGUAGCAGUGAAAUGCGUAGA